rnacentral:rRNA from 5 species
AAAACGACUCUCGGCAACGGAUAUCUCGGCUCUCGCAUCGAUGAAGAACGUAGCGAAAUGCGAUACUUGGUGUGAAUUGCAGAAUCCCGUGAACCAUCGAGUCUUUGAACGCAAGUUGCGCCCGAAGCCGUCAGGCCGAGGGCACGCCUGCCUGGGCGUCACACGCC